UUCUACUUCCAUAAAAGGACACGGUGGUGGAGCAUUUUUUGUUAUUUUAAUAAUGAAUUGCUCAUCCUAGUUGCUGUUAGGAUCCUAUAACACGGGGAUUAUUAAAGUACACAUCGAUCAAUUUUCAUCGGAGAGAGAAAAACGGCUCUGCAGGUAGAAUAACCAGGACUCGCUUCAAUGGCCCAUCAAAAAAUCUGUCAUCGAUAGGAAACAAAACAUGUAUUUUCGCAGAAUCGAAAGCCACUGCCUACCAACAAGGCAAAGGAUCACCGGAUAUAAAAACUUACUUUUCGCGGUGUUGCGAAGAUCACUCAGGAAUGCUGAAAUGAAAAAAAUGAGCGGAAAACGGAGACUCCGUCCGGUGUAUACGGAUGAUUCGCCUUGAAGGUUUGGAUAAAAGGUGAAGAA